rnacentral:rRNA from 1 species
UACGGGGGGGGCAAGCGUUGUUCGGAAUUACUGGGCGUAAAGGGCUCGUAGGCGGCCAACUAAGUCAGACGUGAAAUCCCUCGGCUUAACCGGGGAACUGCGUCUGAUACUGGAUGGCUAGAGAUUGGGAGAGGGAUGCGGAAUUCCAGGUGUAGCGGUGAAAUGCGUAGAUAUCUGGAGGAACACCGGUGGCGAAGGCGGCAUCCUGGACCAACACUGACGCUGAGGAGCGAAAAGCCAGGGGAGCAAACGGG